UGGUAUCUACAACGAACCUAACUGCAGCACUACUCAUCUGGAUCACGGUGUCCUCGCGGUUGGGUACGGUACUUACCAGGGACAACCCUAUUGGUUAGUCAAAAAUAGUUGGGGUACCACUUGGGGUCAACAGGGCUACGUCAUGAUGACACGUAACAAAAACAACCAGUGUGGGAUAUCCACAAUGGCGACAUACCCAUGGGUCAUGUGAGGACUGUGCAUGACGGAUGUUAAUAGAAGUAUACAUAAAGUUGCGCAAUAAUUGUGAAAAAUACAACACGCCAGGCCUUUUUUGUUAUCUAGCCAUAGAUCGAUGAUCGUCUGUAAACCAUGCCAACUGUCCGAAAAUAGAUAUUCCGAAAAUGAGGGACGUUUGUAUUCGGUUUGUAGAAUUGCGCUUUCUCUUCCGUAUUGCUCGUAGGCCUACAAGCAGGCGGAUGUUAUUCAUCCUCAAUGUUGUAACCGACUGUGCACGUUACGAACGUCCGAUUUCGUAUUAAGAAUUAGGAAAUAUGCAUGUACACAUUGUAUGCUAAGUUUGUAGAAUCUGUUAUGAACUCAAAGUAUCAAAAUGUGAUGAAACACUUUUAUUAUGAAGAUGGACAAAAUAGAAUGACAUGUUUAAAAUCAGUGGUAUUAAUUUAACACUUGCACAAUCAAAUCAGAUAUACCGACAUUUUGACAAACUCGCACAGUGACGAAAUUUAAGAUAGAUAUUUCAGGCACUGGAAUUGAUCAAAGCAUCCCGUGAUUUAGGUUUUUGAUAAUCCUACACCUUAUACUGCGUCACCAGUUCGAAUUAAAGUCUUAUUUAGGCCUGAUAAGUGCCACCUUAUUUCAUGAUACGGUUUAUUUUAUCAAUAAAUAACAACGUAUGACCUUUUGUAAGUAAAA